UACGGGGGGGGCGAGCGUUGUUCGGAAUUACUGGGCGUAAAGGGCGCGUAGGCGGUUUGCUAAGUCGAACGUGAAAUCCCUGGGCUCAACCCAGGAACUGCGUCCGAUACUGGAAGGCUUGAAUCCGGGAGAGGGAUGCGGAAUUCCAGGUGUAGCGGUGAAAUGCGUAGAUAUCGGAAGGAACAUCAGUGGCGAAAGCGGCUUCCUGGUCCAGCACCGACGUUCAGGCACGAAAGCGUGGGGAGCAAACAGG
rnacentral:rRNA from 1 species